GCCGGCCGAGGUUCUGGCCGGCCAGCGCUUUCUCGAGGUGUUCGAGAUGCGGCGCCCGCGCUCGGUGCGCGACGCCGGCG
rnacentral:tRNA from 1 species